AGCUGCUGGAGGCGCAGCGGCGAUUAGUAUCAAGCCAGCGGCUGGAGGGGGGCUCCCCAGCUUUGCCCGCUGCUCCCCAGCUGCCGGGGGAGAGAAUCGUGCAGGGCUGGGGUCCCUUUGCGGCUGGACCCAGAGGUGCCGUGGGGGGAGAGAUCUCGCUGCGCCCCUGCCGCGGCUGGAUGCGCUGGUUUGCCAGCGGGCAGGUCCUUCUCCCGGUCUCCGGAGCGCCAAGCGUCCCCCCUGCAGCCGGAGAGACGCAGCUCCCGCCCGCCGUGCUUUGGAAAUAAACCCGCUGGGCUCGGCUCGGCUCUAGCCGCGCACAAGGAGGCUUGUCCGAGCUGGAGGAGUUCUUGCUUUUUCUGCGCCCCGCUGCUCGGAAAAGGAGUCGCUCCAAAUCCGGGGCGCGUGGGGUGGGCUCCCCGAACAGAUCGGGAUGUUUUAUGCUGCCCGGGGAAUGCUCCGCUCUGCUGCUGCCGGAGGACCCGUUCCCAAACGGAAUAUCUCUCUCUCUUCCUCCUCCUGCAUUUUUGGUGAUGUGUUUUUGGGUCCCUUUGUGUGGAAUAUACGCUCACCCGUUCAUCUGAAUUGGUCACCACCCUGAUUGGUGAAUUGAAGGUUCUGUGGUGAGAGAGGAAGAGAAUUCUGGGCACAUGGACCUGGGAUGCGAACAGGAAAACCAACCUGCUGCUGGAGCACGGGCCAGGACUGUCUCUGUGGAAGGGGCUUCAUUCCACCCAGUAGCCCUUUGGGAAGUGAAAUUCUGGGAAGCUUUGCCUGGGACCCCUCAGUCUGCAGAAGGGGAACCCUCCACCUGCAAGACCUGGAACAGAGGCGUUGGAGGGAAAGGAGCUCGGGUUUUGGAGGCUGUGGUGGGAGCUUUCAACUAGCCGCCCCCACCAUGGAAAUGGACUCCUGGCCAGCUGCCCACCGUGCAGUUACUGUGGUUCAAUUUCUCUGCUUUACUCAGCUUCCUCCUGGCUCUCGCUUAUCUCGGGGUUCCCACGCAGAGAUGGGACUUAACCAGCCUCCUUCAAGACGCAUUCUUAUGGGCCCUUAGACUUGGAAAUUCUCCUCUUGGCCAGGAGACUUUCAGGCCGGAUAUGUUGGAGUGAACAGCGAUGUGCUUUUAAGCCAAACGGGAGCUUGAUUUCCCUGCUCUUUGGAAAGAGCCCACUGUUCACCCGUUUCCAUGGAAGCAGCUGUGGAAUUUUUUUUCUCCUCUCUCCCUUCUGACUUCUUUGGGUCUUGGGCCUGUAUGUGUGGCUCGUUUAUGACCCAGUGCGGAGAGCACGUUGCUCCAACAAUGCAGCCCCUUGCCGUGGCAGUAGCAAAGGUGAAAACCUCUAAGCCCGUGCAACGCUGGGAGCUGCAUGAUGGGAACAGCUGUUGGUGUCUGGCUGGUGAUGAGAGCACGUUGGUGUGUUUGCUGGGAUAGUCGCGUGAGAUGCAAAUCCUCUCAUGGUGUAGGGAAAAGACGUGCUGUAUGGUCCUGCAUACGUCAGUCCAGCGCAAGGCCAAGGGGACGCCGUCAAAAACAGAAGGGGCCAACGCAUCGUUGCAACCUCGUUUAAAAAAUAAACCAGGUUGGGUGGGGGACCAGGUGAAGGAACGCAGGAGACCUGUAACCACAGUGAGGGGGAAGAUCAAGGCAACAGUAACAAGCUGGGGAACUGUCACCUUCAGCAUCAAUUAAAUGUCGCUCUUAAAAAAAAAUCCAUUGCCUCUCUUGCUACUCAAUUCCUUCUGCCUUAGCUCUGAGACACCUCUACGCUGGGCCCUGUCAGACAGCUGGAGAGUGGAAGCCUGACACGGUGUAAGCAGGAGUUCAGGCCCCAACAUGCAUCCAGCUCAAGUGGCAACUCUGAAUUUUAAUUCCUCUCCCUUAAUGUGUGUGGUUUUCAACUCCCAAACCUGAGUGGUGUCAUUCCCCACCUCCCAAUAUUCAUGCAAAGCACAAGAAGGUGCCCUGUGGAACUAUACAGUAAAAAGAGAUCUAACUAAUACAGAGAUUGAAAAUAUUUUUCAAAACGGACAAGAUUUAUGCCUUCUUCAAUUCUCCGUAGGAGCUAUUUUCUCAUUGAAGACAAGUUAGAAUAAAGACUGUAUGUUUAAUAUGAUUGAA